GGGGGUGUUUUGGUUUUGACAGCGCCAGUGUCGGGCGGUAAGCAUGCCGGGCGUGGAGGCCUUGCCCGUAAAUCUCAGACCUCAAAAAAUCAGUUGCCAACAACAACUAUGCACUCGCUGCUUAAUUCGCCCAAGGCAAUUAGCUUAAUCCGCGUCGCCUAGGCUGCGACGCCGACGAGUAUCCCUCGGCCCUUCCGCCUCUUAAGGGCCCCUCAAGGGGUAUCAUCCAUUUGAGGCCGCUCCGGUGGACGCCUUUAAAGCCGGCUAAGAUUAAAGGCUAAGGGUGAGUUCGCCCGCCAUCCGGCUCGCUCACCACAAAAACCAAAGGACGGAUAAGCAUGUAGAAAGCCGUUUGGCAGGACGUUUGGACAGCGGUUCGAGUCCGCUCACCUCCACA
rnacentral:tmRNA from 1 species